GAGUUUGCUGGCUCAGAACGAACGCUGGCGGCAGGCCUAACACAUGCAAGUCGAGCGCCCAGCAAUGGGAGCGGCGGACGGGUGAGUAACGCGUGGGAAUUUUUCCUGGAGUACGGAACAACCGAGGGAAACUUCGGCUAAUACCGUAUGAUAUCGAGAGAUCAAAGAUUUAUCGCUCUGGGGUGAGCCCGCGUCAGAUUAGGUAGUUGGUGGGGUAACGGCCUACCAAGCCUGCGAUCUGUAGCUGGUCUGAGAGGACGAUCAGCCACACUGGGACUGAGACACGGCCCAGACUCCUACGGGAGGCAGCAGUGGGGAAUCUUGCGCAAUGGGCGAAAGCCUGACGCAGCCAUGCCGCGUGAGUGAAGAAGGUCUUAGGAUUGUAAAGCUCUUUCGCUCGUGACGAUGAUGACGGU
rnacentral:rRNA from 1 species